rnacentral:misc_RNA from 1 species
UGGUUUCCUGUUUCUCACGGCAGUGGGCCCGGGGCCGAUUAAUAAUUUCACUGCGGUGUUCCUUUACGGCGACGCUCUCUUGAACGACGCCAUUUUGAAUCCCGUUAUGUUGUGAAGUUGUGUUUUGCGGAGUGGGGCUUUUCGCUGCCGUUCUGUGAAUGGUGGCUGGUAGUUUUAUUAGAACCGACAAAAUUUGCGAAAUAAUCGUCUUUCAUCACCUACUUUGCUCAAGAUUUUCGAUAAGUUGACUGGUUUUGCGUGCUAGAGGAGUGACGCCGAGGACGUCGCUUUCGGUCGAGUCCCUCGCUUGGUAAUCACGAUGGCUCUGGACGGGCAGAAGUUCUGUCUCAAGUGGGACGGAUUCCAGAGUAGCGUGACGUCGCUGUUCGACAACCUCAGGCAGGUGGAGGAGCUGGUGGACAUCACGCUCUGCUGCGAGGGCCACCAGGUGCGCGCGCAUAGGAUGAUGCUGUCCGUCUGCAGCCCGUACUUCAGGGAUCUGCUGAAGAACAAUCCGUGCCAACAGAUGGUAUUCUUCCUCAAAGACACCACGGCGGCCGACCUGAACGCGGUCAUCGAGUUCAUAUACAAGGGGAGCGUGAACGUGUCGCAGAGCCAGCUGGCCAGCUUCAUCAAGACGGCAGAGAUGCUGCAGAUCCGGGGCCUGAGCGGCGAGGAGGAUAAGGCGGCGCCGCCUCCGUCACCCCGCCGCACCCCCGCCGCACCUGCCACCGCUACGCCACCACACAAACGCCGCCGUAUCUCGGGUUCGGACACCAUCCCCCGCCGCUCGCCAGCUUCACCAUCUCAACGACCACGAACACCAACACCGCCACCAGGCGGACAACCGCUUCCACCACCGCCACCACCUCAACCAGCUACCCUACAAGAUCUCCCGCUUGAGCAGACACAACAUAUGGAUCACCAACCUCCACCGCCGCCUCAACACUCUACACACGCUCCGACGCCAGUGGCGGAGUCGGUUAAAGUCGAGAAGAUUGAUCUCACGGAAGAUGAAGAAGAGGCGAGUCUCGACUCGACGCUGUGUCAUGUAGCGGAGUAUGAAGGUGGUUAUGAUGGGUCGAACUCUGGAAUGGAACAGAUGCCCAUGCUGUCGGCAGACGCGUUAGGAGGAUUACCACCGCUGGGCGCCGGCCCGUCUCAGCCGGCACGCCCCCAUGGUCUACCUCACACCCCGGGCGGAGCCCAACCAGAGGACGGAUCAGGCGCAGAUUACCCGCACCGAUGUGAAAUUUGCGGUCGUGGCUACCAAACUCGCGACUCCCUAAAUCAUCAUCGCCACGUGCACUUUGGCUCUACAAGAUGCACACUGUGCGGGAAGACCUGUUCCAAGGUGGCUGCCCUGCGAGCACAUCUUCAGACGCAGCAUGGACUUACGCCGCAGCAAGUUAGGGCGCUUGUGCCAACAAGGAAUAGGGUUUCGUUGUCUGGGGGGUGGCCUGUGUGAAUGUCACGAGGGAGGAUGUGUGAGCAUAGGCGGCGGAACGGGGAGGGCACCGGGGCACCGUGCCUCCCUUUGAUUUUGGCAUUUUAACAUUAGCCCUAUGGGCGUUGCAUGGAAAGAAUGGGACCAAAAGUCGGCAGUGCCUCCCCCCCCCCCGUAAUUGAAAGUGUUCCGCCGCUGCUGUGUGUGAGGCGGUGAUGGUGGAGAAGAUGUUGACUGUUUUGGUGGAAAUAAUGGUGCGAGUGGUAGAAGCGUGUCUUGCUCAAGCAUCUUAUGAUCUGAGGCCAUUGUUAUGAAAUAAAAUCGAGUCAUCCGCUGCAACUCAAAAUCAACCCGAAUUGACCAGCUUCUCGUUCUUAUAAAGAAAAUAAACGUGGUUAAUGGUAACGCAUCCUACGUCUCCUUUUUUUUUUGCUCAGAAUUAGGAAUAAAAUUCGCAGCCGGCUCGGAUUUUGUUUUAGAAUAAUGGUGUCUGUUUUAUAAUAGGUAUUGUUCUUCCGCACGAACAUAAUCUCUGUUUGAUUUUGUCAAUGUAAAACCGAGCUGCUGCUGCGUCUCCUGAAGGGUGACCUCUCGAAUGAGGACCAGUGAGGAGAGGCUUGAGUGUUGAGCACAAAGGGGGUCACGUAAUCCGAACUUGCUUGUAUAGCGGUAGUAGCGCGUACAAAGGGAAUUCCGUUCAUGAGGAAAUGGAGUUUUUUUUUUAAUGGAAUGACCUAUACGAAGUAACUAUUUUUAUUUUUGCAACGGGCUUCUCACCUCCUAUGCCCGCGAUGUAUAAGCAAGGACUUCAGUGAGAGUAUGUGUGCAUCGUGUGUAUAGAGUUUGACUUGGAAAUGCACAGACUGACCAAAACGUUCUUUACCUCACUUAAUAAAUAACUAUAGGUAAGAUGACCUCCUAUAGGUACGGCUUUUAACAGAUGAUAUAACCGAGAAAAAAAAACAUCCAGUAAGUAGGCGAUGUGUACAUAUUGUGUGUGUUCUGGCGCUGGUACAAUGGUUAUAUCUGAUGCUAACUCAACAUUAGCGUAGUGGUGCUGGUGUAAAUAAAUUUUGAAUGUAA